AUGUCACAACCAGCCACCCCUGCAUUAUUAGAGCCAACAGCAUCAAUUUUGAUGGUGUAUGAACAGGGUGGGACCAUCACACACACAUUACCACUAGGUGCUGGCUGUGGAGAUUUACCUUAAUUGCCAUAAAUGGAAUUGCUAACUUUCCAGGAUUUCCCCCAUAGGCAGCCCAAGACAAUACUGUAUACAAGGAAGAUAAUGGGAUGGAAACCUGGCAAUUCUGUUUAAGAUGCUUGAUAUAUUUUUCACAUAGAAUACAGCUCAUCUGUGCUUCAGAUGCUAACUAAAAUUCAGAAUGUUUGCGAUGCAUUUACUGCCUGCCAGCGGCGUUCAUAUGGCACUAGUGUUUCUCAUCCACGAUCAUUUUUUUAGCUUGCUAUAUUAAAGAGACAAGAGUUUAAGCAUAUUUCUGGGCAUGCUGAGCUGUUCAAAGAAAUGUGCUGUUCUUAGCGCCAAGUUUUCCGUUCUGAAUAUUUGCCUAUGGGUAUCAGCUAUCAGAACAAUUGCCAAUUGCCGUGCUAUUGCUGUAGUGGACAAAUGUUGUAAAGGCAGCCACAAGCAGAUUCGUCUAGGGCAGAGGAGGUUUGCUCCAGGAGCAGCAGAACUUGUAACUCCAGGAUUGGCAAGUGCAUGCAAGGAUGCUGAAGGUUGAAAUCAACAUGUUCACUUAGAAUCUAGGCCAGAGCUUUCCAAACUGUGUCACGAUACGUUAGUGUGUCGGCUGCAGUGUGUAGGUGUGUCGCACAAAUGCUCCCCACACUCCUCCCGGGGCUGGUAAAGGGUUAUGUUUAACCUCCGGUGUGCUAGUAAAACUGAAUUACUGUGUUGUGAAAUGAUGCAUGUCUAAAAUGUGUGUCACCCACACGAAAAGUUUGGGAAGCUCAGAUCUGGGCCUUGACUUCAUCGCUGAAGCAAAGGCCGUGUGCCGCUUCACACAGAACAUCAGAAUGGUAGCGACUAACUGCAUUCAGCAUCAUGCCAACUGCUCCGUCACUUUCUCUGUGGCUUCCUCGCUGGAAAACUGCCUGCACCUUUUAGCACCCUCCUGAUUUCAUGGUCAAACGAGGUCAUGGUUUGUUUCCUACAUAUUGAAUAUAACCUGUCAUUAUAGUGAAGCACUGUGAGUCAAAAAUUCUCCCUCUUCUAGUGCGAUGGCUGAAGCUUAUCGUCUGGUUCUGCUCUGUUGCUGCAGCCCCAAAAAGAAUUAAUGCAACCUUAGUAGCACUGGCUCACCCUUGUGUUGGCACAGUACUACAGGCUUGUCAUGUGAGUGUGUGUGUGUGUGUGUGUGUGUGUGUGUGUUUCUUAGUUGUGCCUGUGCCUUUCACAGAAGCUUAAGCUGCAGGAAUCAGUAGGUGCAUGGCAUGGAGACAUGGAUUAUCACCUGCUAGUAGGCUGCAGGUUACAGCUACUAUUAAAAGGCACAAGAGAAUAAAAAGUGGCAACCUUUUAAUAUGCCAAAAUGCCUUGUGCUGAUUGCCCUUCGCCUCACUUUUUGGUUGCUGCUGAUCUCCCCUGAGUAAAGUGGUGGGGAGGGACCAGAGGCACCAGCUUAGGCAGGUGAUGGGGUGGACCGACGUCAGGACACUGGAAGGAGCCAGGGGUGGAGCUGAACACAGCAGCUGCUUGGCUUCAAUGGCUGGUGGCAGUGCCACUGGCAGGCGGCUAUUUCAAUCCUCCUUCCCCUCUGCGGCAAAAGGAGGUGAAGGAGCCUCCAUGCUUUCUGGACAUGCCCAGCACCAGCCCCAAAAGCAUAGGGGUCAAAAGGGCUUGGGCCCCUGGAACUGGUGUCCCUAGGAGGGACAUACAGACUGACAAAAGGGAGAGGUAUCCAUCUCUGUUAUUCUGACAUUUACUCCUUCAGACAUAGCACCAAGGCACAUAGCCUGCUGCUACUUGCAGAGGCAUAUCUGGGUGCUGCCCUUUCCCAGAGAUUGCUCAAAGCUAAUGUGCAUUAUAUUUUACCCUUCUAAAUUUGAUGCAUUGAUGCUUCAUGUUCUUAGCUGGAGAAAGAUUGUUUUAUUGGAGCUGCUUAAAUGUGUAAUUCAUUUAGUUCUUUGACGUUAGGUGAAUGAUACAUUUAAUUAAUUCUGUAAUCAUCACCACCAACACCAUCAUCAUAAAGAGGGACCUGGAACUUAGAUGCGGAAACAUCUAAAAAAACCAACCAUGUACUGGCAGCAUUGCAAAUUCACCAUUCAAUCCACAACCAUGUUGGCUCUUAAAAAGUCAGCACCCUGAUCGCCCUGCAGCUCCCUCUAACAUAACAUUAAUGAAUCUAGAGUGUGUGCUGCCAUACAAUGAGCUAUUUUACAGAAGAGAUUUAGGGGAGUUUCAUGUCAUCCUACUGGCCCCAACACCAGCAGUCCCCAUCCUGGAAGAAGCUCCACAUACUGAACAAGAACUGGGCACAGGAAGAGCAAACCGGAGGAUACAUGAGAAUGCCAUCCUAUAUUAUUUAUGUUUUCUAGGCACAUGGGGCAUAUUCAACGAAACAGUUGGGCCUAUGGUAGCCAGUUCAAUGAGUCACACUAGCGCAAUGGGACUUCUCAAAAGCUUGCGUUGACAGAAUGACUGCAAUAGCGCAAUGUUGACUUCCGCCCAUGGGGUUGUAUCCAGUUCUAGCCCUAUUCAAUGUAAACCCAUUGACAUGAAUAAACAUGACUAACUUAGGUCCAUUAAUUUCAAUGGGUCUGCUUGGAGCAAAACAUAGCUGGCUAUAACCCACGCUUAGUGCUCUGAAUAAAGCAUGCAACAGGAAUCCAAGAACCUGCUUGCAUUCCUCUGCCUACGGUGCACAUGUGCAUAAAAGAGGGGGGAAACUGCAUGUGCAGCUCACACUAGAUGAAGAGCAUCACUCAGAAAGCCCAGCCCACAUGGCUCUUGCAACUGAUCCCAGGGCUGCAUUCACACAGUCCUAGCAGAAAAUCGGCAAUAGCACCAAGCAGCUGCUUAGGAAUGAGAGCAGGUGGGUGAGCUUUGGUCCCUGGUCCUAAGAACACAUCUAAGAAAUAUUUUUGUCAGAACAUCAAAGACGCUUUUGUUAGUCUUUAAGGUGCCACAGGACUCUUUGCUGUUUUUAAUGUAAUGCGUCCAGGAUUACAUUGCAAAUCAUUUGAAUUAGCAGAACGGCAAUAUCAUGACUAAAAUGCUUACUUUGACCGAAUUCCCAGCAGACCUUUUCUCCGCUGUCCAGCUUUGCAUGUGUUCCUUGAGAAGCCUACAGCGAUUUGCUCUGCGAUUGGGAUGACUCAUUUGCUAAUGGCUAUUUUGCGACCAAAACCUCUUCCAGUGAACCAGGGUUACUGCUCUUUUCCACACAUAACAUGAAAAAUAUCCUUCCACCAAGCAAAGUGAGCUCUAGCACAUCUGCUGGAACUUGGCUCUCGUUCACUUAAGCAUUACACAUGCCCUUUGGUAAAGCAAAACACCUGUUGCCUGCGCACAAUUUAGCCCCAAGCGCUCUAAAUGUUUCUCUGAGGAGGAAAUCCAUCCAAACCACUGAUGGGGAGUGACAACCUUGGCAUUCUUUUCUACUCCAUUUGCUGGUGUGCCAUUUAUUGUACUCUCCAAAGAGCCCUGCGGUCUUUAGCCUAGUUUUUGCCCCUGUAACGAAAACAAAAUGGGUUCACACAAUGCCAAAAGCAAACAGAUUCUGCAUUUCCCAUUUAUUAAGUUCUCUCGUUUCCCAAGUGGGAGCAAAAUUCCCUCUUUUCCCCCAUGUCACCAUUCCAGAGCCUUAAGAACGUACGUGGUAAAUAAGGUUGGGGGGAGGGAGGGUUAACAUUCUACACUUUGCAACGUGAUAUGGUUAAAUAAGCUGCUAUGCUAAUCUAGCCUGUAUUUUGUUUCUGGUGCGAGGCCAAAAAUUUACUCGUACUUAAAUAUUUUAUUUUUAGAAACAUAAGCUAAUCAGUAAGAGUGUGCCAGAAGUCCGUUUCAGGCCAGAUCGUUUGAGGAAUAAAGUUACUAGAAUGUAUUUUUGCUGACAUUUUGUGAGGUUACUGGUGUUUCCUUUCACUUAGACCCCUGCGUGGUGAGAGUUCUGAAGAUGACCAUGUCGAAGCAUAACUGCGAGACAGGUUGAGCUUCUACUGGCUGUGGUAAAUCGUUGUUCUCAGCAUGAGGAAGGGGGAUGCUGGAGAAAUGUUUGCCAGAUGAAAGUGAAGGUCGCCUUUUCUGUUGAACUUCCGUCGAAAACAAACAUUUAGAAUCCACGCUUGGAUUCCUUGAAAGCUGUGUGUAUCCCAAAAUCAGGCCCAUGCACUCACUAAAGUUGACGAGUUUUUUGAGACAGGGGAAUAUGAGUAACUGCUUCCCUCAACCACCUAAAGAACAUUGAGCAUGAUGCCCAUGACCACCCAAGCACACUGUUUGUCCAAUUCUCCUGGGGCUCCUGAGAGUAUGCACCUGAAGCAGUUUCAGCACUGUGGGAAAAUCUUAUGGCAGUUGUGUGCAGAAGAAGAAGAAGAAGAGGAGGAGGAUGAGGAGGAGGAGGAGAAGGAGGAGGAGGAGUUUGGAUUUGAUAUCCCGCUUUAUCACUACCCGAAGGAGUCUCAAAGCGGCUAACAUUCUCCUUUCCCUUCCUCCCCCACAACAAAUAUUCUGUGAGGUGAGUGGAGCUGAGAGACUUCAAAGAAGUGUGACUAGCCCAAGGUCUCCCAACAGCAGCUUGUGGAGGAGCGGAGACGUGAACCCGGUUCACCAGAUUAUGAGUCUACAGCUCUUAACCACUACACCACACUGGCAAAUCUUGUCAAGCUCAAGUGCCAUGUUUAGGAACUGGCUUUAAGAAUAGUGUCAUGUGAGUUGCCAGGGACUUGUAGGGACUACAGCAAUGCUUGCAUCCAGGCUGCUGAAAAUCCCAAAUGAAGAACUCCAAGCAUGUGUAGGACUCUCCGCCAUCCUUAGAACAGGGAACAGGGGACAGCUGGUAGAAUACGUAUAACCUUCACUGCUUAUAAAAGCUCUUAGCUGCAUUUCAUUGCCUCAUUUCCAAAACAGAUCUAUCUACAUAUGCUAAAAUUGCCCUCCUCCAGAGUCCUGAGGCACAACUGGGACAAGCAAGUAUUUUAAUGCUCUUGCUUUAAAAUUUAUGGCCGAGGCUACAGCGCAGCUUUUUUCCCUGGCUGCUCCAGCUAAUAAAAGUGGCUCUGAUG